rnacentral:rRNA from 1 species
GUGGGGAAUCUUCCGCAAUGGGCGCAAGCCUGACGGAGCAACGCCGCGUGAGUGAAGAAGGUUUUCGGAUCGUAAAGCUCUGUUGUCAGGGACGAGAGACUUGAUCAGGAAAUGGGUCAAGGAGGACGGUACCUGUCGAGAAAGCCACGGCUAACUACGUGCCAGCAGCCGCGGUAAUACGUAGGUGGCGAGCGUUGUCCGGAAUUAUUGGGCGUAAAGGGAGCGCAGGUGGGAUUGUAAGUCAGUCUUAAAAGUUCGGGGCUCAACCCCGUGAUGGGAUUGAAACUACAAUUCUUGAGUGCAGGAGAGGAAAGCGGAAUUCCUAGUGUAGCGGUGAAAUGCGUAGAUAUUAGGAGGAACACCAGUGGCGAAGGCGGCUUUCUGGACUGUAACUGACACUGAGGCUCGAAAGCGUGGGGAGCGAACAGG